AAAAAAGAAGGUACCCCACAAUUUCAUCACCAUCAUUACAAAUCGGACAGAGUGGAGAGGGAGAGCAUUGCCGCCUGGGAAGGUUUAUUUUGGUAGCAAGAGCAUCAUCACAUGCUCUCCCUAGAAAAAGUUUUUAUUAGGAGCAACAGGGAGAGAACAGAGCUUUGUCCAAGAUGAUUCAAGGGAAGCAUUGGAUCUUGAUGGCAAAGCAGUAGAUGAGGCUUCAGCUUGAGAUUUUUUCAACAUGUGGUAAACAGAUUUCAUCAUGGGCUUGCCAUGACGAGUAAAGUGCCAUGUUCUAGAUGCUUCCCGACCAGAACGCCCUAAGGGAAUUUUCAGGAUUUCCAUACACUCCAUAGGGUAGAAGAAUGCAUAUAGAGCAUUUUCUGUCUCAUUGAAUAAAAGCUGAGUCUGUGAGAUCAGCAACAUACAGAAUAUGGCUAUCAGGAGGGCUUGGCUAGCAAUCCUAAGUUUGGCAAUGUAGGAACCCACGGUUCUGUCCAAACAUUCACAAAGGUUGGAUCAGU
rnacentral:misc_RNA from 1 species